GGCGAACGCUGGCGGCGUGCUUAACACAUGCAAGUCGAACGGAAAGGCCCUGCUUUUGUGGGGUGCUCGAGUGGCGAACGGGUGAGUAACACGUGAGUAACCUGCCCUUGACUUUGGGAUAACUUCAGGAAGCUGGGGCUAAUACCGGAUAGGAGCUCCUGCUGCAUGGUGGGGGUUGGAAAGUUUCGGCGGUCGGGGAUGGACUCGCGGCUUAUCAGCUUGUUGGUGGGGUAGUGGCUUACCAAGGCUUUGACGGGUAGCCGGCCUGAGAGGGUGACCGGCCACAUUGGGACUGAGAUACGGCCCAGACUCCUACGGGAGGCAGCAGUGGGGAAUAUUGCACAAUGGGCGGAAGCCUGAUGCAGCAACGCCGCGUGCGGGAUGACGGCCUUCGGGUUGUAAACCGCUUUCGCCUGUGACGAAGCGUGAGUGACGGUAAUGGGUAAAGAAGCACCGGCUAACUACGUG
rnacentral:rRNA from 1 species